GAGGAGGCCGUCUGGGGGAGCCUGUCCGACUUCCUGGGAGAAUCAGGGCUUCCCGCUGUGCCCCGGGGCCUGGGGGACGAGGAGAUGCCCCCCUGGCUGGUAGGAGAUGGAUAUUGGAGAUGUCUGGGGCUGCUGGGGAAAUAGGAAACUUGCCUCUUAAUAACUACUGAAUUAAAAAAAAAAAAAAAGAGUACGUGUCCCCGGGGAGGUUCGGUUGGGUUAGGAGCUCCUGGGACACCAGGCCUGCUCCUUCCGGGGGCCCGUAGGAGCAAGCAAGCGGCAGUUUAAAGAGGGCUUUUGAGAGAAUCGUUUUGCCCCCAGGACAACUAACUGACAAUGAGGCGGUUGGGGUAAGAUGGGACCUGGGAGGAGGGUACCCUGUCCGGAGAUCUGGGAGAGGAGAAGAAGGGUCAGGAUCUGUGAGGAGCUUCAUUCUCUGCUGAGUUCGAGGUCCUCUUCUAGGAAGACAUACUGGGAAUUGGUGAAGCGAGGAGGAGAGGUGAUACUGUCUUGGGGCACAGUGAUUCUAGAAGUUGUAGUUCUGUAAAGUUGGUUGGAAGAGUAGAACUGUUUCUAGUCAGUUGAGGGAGGAGGAGCUCCUUGAAGGUUGCUAAGUUACCAGAAGCUUGUAGGCACCGCCUAGGGCUGGUGUUAGGGGAGGUUAGUUCUUUCAGGUCCUAAUUCGGGCUUAGUUAAGGCGUGUCCUCAUUCUUUUUUGGCUGCCUGGAGCUCUUAAAUUGGUUUCCACGAGCCCAGCUUGAGCUAAGAGGUUGUGUAGGUGCUGAGGGCUGAUGAAUGUCUUUGAGUCCAGAGACAUUUAGGUUAGGAGCUUUCAAACUUUAAAAAAAUUAUAGUAAGAAUAACGUUUUUCAUUAUCAUCUAGUACAUACCCACAUAGGAACAACAAGUUUCACAAAGCAGUACUCAUUCUUACUACUAAUGAUGCAUACUGAUGAUUGCUAUUAUAUUUCAUUCUUUUUCUUUAAGAAAUGCUAACUAAACGCACUAAAUUGAUACACGGGUCAUAACUUGCAGUUUGACAAACUGUCUCCAGGGCACAUUUUUUUGGCUUCAAUUAGUGUCUUCCUGUAUGUUUCUAGAGAACAAGGAUGAUAAUAAAGAGAUAGGGAGGGAGAGUGGAACCCCCCUGGUGUAAUUGACUACUUUUGUUUACAUAUUUAGAAGGUGUAGUAAAUUGUACCAUGAUCUUUGAUGUCUUAAUUUGCCUGAUCAGUUGAUGAAAUUUUGAAAUAAGUAUGUGCUUUUAAUUUUCUCUGUUCUUUGCUGGAUCUGAGAAAUAUGAGAGGCCUAGUUCCAUACAGUUGAUUCAUCCUUACAACAUCUUUAAGGUAAUUUUAACGUUACAAUGUUAUACAUUAAUUUGCCUUUCUGCAGUAUAAAAAAUCUCAAGCUGAAACCCAUACUCUUCCUACUCCAAUAAUUAAUGCAUGAUAUGCUUUUUCUGCAUGAUUUAAGGUGUAGAUUCCUGGCUUUAGUAACUUAAUCAUAAACUUAAGAUAUCUUUCAGUUAAUUAACAUCUUAAUUCUCCCCAUGAAAAUGACAUUUUCAUCUGUUUUUGAAACAGAUAAGGUCCUUGUGUGAGUAGUAUUAUAAUAAAUGUUAACGAGUAUUGGUGACCAAAGUGAGAAGCCUUCAUGUGUUGUGAUGUUUAAUGUCCUUUUAAAAGUGUCACAUGGCCUUUUGUUACAGGACAUUGAGUGUCAAAUGAUGCUGCCUGAUUUCAGUAGGUACAUAUUUAUAGGUUGUAUUUAAGACCAGUUCAAUCAUUUUUAUUUUUGUUGAAGAUGCCCUCAUAUUAUUUGAAACCUGGAAUUCAAAAGCACAGCCAUCAGGAAAAUAUUGCCUGAAGUAAAGUUUACCACUAGGGCCACAUUCUUGAGUAGAUGCUUUAUGAAAGCAUUCUUAUUAUCUUCAAACUUACUGUAUUAUAAAAUACAUCUUUCUUACCUUUAUUUUUUGACUAUCUCUUGGUUGUUCUGCCUGCAUGUAUCAGUCAUCCUUUAAAAAUUACGUUUAACUCAGGUAAAAAUUUGUUUUAAAAUGUUUAAAAGUUUUCUUUGUGUGGUAGAUGUUUGGGACAUUAAGGAAGAUUCUCAUUAAUUCCAUUUUUCUGGGAAUCAUGUGUAUCUGUCAAUAAACAGUUGUGGUGAA
rnacentral:lncRNA from 1 species